rnacentral:rRNA from 1 species
AUGAAGCGUCGGGGUAUCAAAUGCGAGACGCUAUGCGUCUGCUGCAAGCGCCUAGAUGAAGAUGGAGCACACUUAUUUCUGAGAUACAAGCAGGUCAAGAGUCUCUGGCGACUGCUGCAAGUGGAACACAUACGGGAACAGAUGUGCGCAUGCUCUGACGCACAUGCACUGAUGCAUACUUUACUCCAGUUGCCGGAGGACAAAAAGAUCCUAGUAGUUUGCCUGCUGUGGCGCUGGUGGACAUGGAGGAACAAAACCGAUGCAGGCGAGAAGGUUGGGUCGAUGGACAAUCUUGCUGCGGAGAUCAACCACUGGGCUAUGGAGUCACUUGCUUUCGGCCGCCAGCAUAGCACAACCACCAACCAGCACCGUAUAUCUGAAUGGAGCAGACCUGAGGGGGAUAGCCUGAAGAUCAAUUGUGAUGGGGCAUUCUUUGCGUCUCAGGGAACGGGAGGCUGGGGCUUCGUCAUUAGAGACCAAGCAGGAGAUGUGCGGGGCUCUGGAGCGGGGUACCUUCAUCAUGUGGCAUCCCCGGUGCAAGCGGAAGCUGAAGCGUGCUCUAGAGCGUUGGAGGCGGCCUCCAACUGGGGCAUGACAAACGUGGAAAGUGGAGCUGGAUAG